rnacentral:rRNA from 1 species
UACGUAGGUGGCAAGCGUUGUCCGGAUUACUGGGUGUAAAGGGCGUGCAGCCGGAGAGACAAGUCAGAUGUGAAAUCCACGGGCUCAACUCGUGAACUGCAUUUGAAACUGUUUCCCUUGAGUGUCGGAGAGGUAAUCGGAAUUCCUUGUGUAGCGGUGAAAUGCGUAGAUAUAAGGAAGAACACCAGUGGCGAAGGCGGAUUACUGGACGAUAACUGACGGUGAGGCGCGAAAGCGUGGGGAGCAAACAGG